UACGAACCGUCCAAACGUUACUCGGAAUCACUGGGCUUACAGAGUUCGUAGGCGGCGGAGAAAGUAGGGUGUGAAAGCCCUCGGCUCAACCGAGGAAUAGCGCCCUAAACUACUUCGCUUGAGGAGGCUAGAGGUGAGCAGAACAGAUGGUGGAGCGGUGAAAUGCGUUGAUAUCAUCUGGAAUACCGGAGGCGAAGGCGGCUCACUGGGACCUUUCUGGCGCUGAGGCGCGAAAGCUAGGGGAGCAAACGGG
rnacentral:rRNA from 1 species